GGGUCAUGUCCUUGACAACAUAUGUCAAGAUCAAGGUCAUUGGCGAGAUGUCCGUUAAUAGAUUUUCGAAAAUUGCAAUGAAACAGAUAAAAUGCAAAAUGGUGAAAGAAUAACAGAUCGACAUUUAAUUUUCGCACGAGAUAAAGAACUAACAGCAAAUUUGUAGGACAGUAGAUAAAAGUUUAAUUCAAUGAUUAAUAGUACUUUAAUUUUAUGCGCUCUUUUUAUUUCAACCUCUGAUAAAAAAUAAUCAUAAACACAAUGACGAUUCAUUCUAAUAUAAUAUAAAUGUAGCAAAGAACAGGCGCAGUCGCAGUCGCAUUCAUCUCGCUUUUGCGUGUUCCGCUUUUUUUUCGAUAACAUAUAAUCCCGAUAAUCCGAAAGAUUCUCGAGUUGUUCGUUUUCUUUUACUGUUUAUCGAAUCACUCAUCGAUACGAUGAGAUUGAUCGGGAUCAUGUAUUUGCUGUCGUUUUGCGGUCGUCUUGAUGCGGCGCCGGCGAAUGUGACCCCCGAAUCAAGUACGUUCAUGAGGAAAAUAAUAUGGAUUAGCCAGAAUGAGUCGCACAACGCCGAAUCCAAUCCUGAUGUCAAUCUCAACACGGUAAAUAUACGUUUUCACUCAUAGGAUUAACAAGG